rnacentral:rRNA from 1 species
AAUAGAUACCCGGGUAGUCCACGCCGUAAACGAUGAGUGCUAAGUGUUAGAGGGUUUCCGCCCUUUAGUGCUGAAGUUAACGCAUUAAGCACUCCGCCUGGGGAGUACGGCCGCAAGGCUGAAACUCAAAGGAAUUGACGGGGGCCCGCACAAGCGGUGGAGCAUGUGGUUUAAUUCGAAGCAACGCGAAGAACCUUACCAGGUCUUGACAUCCUCUGACAACCCUAGAGAUAGGGCUUCUCCUUCGGGAGCAGAGUGACAGGUGGUGCAUGGUUGUCGUCAGCUCGUGUCGUGAGAUGUUGGGUUAAGUCCCGCAACGAGCGCAACCCUUGAUCUUAGUUGCCAUCAUUAAGUUGGGCACUCUAAGGUGACUGCCGGUGACAAACCGGNGGAAGUGGGGAUGACGUCAAAUCAUCAUGCCCCUUAUGACCUGGGCUACACACGUGCUACAAUGGACGGUACAAAGAGCUGCAAGACCGCGAGGUGGAGCUAAUCUCAUAAAACCGUUCUCAGUUCGGAUUGUAGG